rnacentral:rRNA from 1 species
UGGGGAAUUUUGGACAAUGGGCGCAAGCCUGAUCCAGCCAUGCCGCGUGCGGGAAGAAGGCCUUCGGGUUGUAAACCGCUUUUGUCAGGGAAGAAAUCUUCUGAGUUAAUACCUCGGGAGGAUGACGGUACCUGAAGAAUAAGCACCGGCUAACUACGUGCCAGCAGCCGCGGUAAUACGUAGGGUGCAAGCGUUAAUCGGAAUUACUGGGCGUAAAGCGUGCGCAGGCGGUUUUGUAAGACAGAGGUGAAAUCCCCGGGCUAACCUGGGAACUGCCUUUGUGACUGCAAGGCUUGAGUGCGGCAGAGGGGGAUGGAAUUCCGCGUGUAGCAGUGAAAUGCGUAGAUAUGCGGAGGAACACCGAUGGCGAAGGCAAUCCCCUGGGCCUGCANUGACGCUCAUGCACGAAA